AGUGAACGCUGGCGGUAGGCCUAACACAUGCAAGUCGAACGGCAGCACCGUAAGAGCUUGCUCUUACGGGUGGCGAGUGGCGGACGGGUGAGGAAUACAUCGGAAUCUACUUUUUCGUGGGGGAUAACGUAGGUAAACUUACGCUCAUACCGCAUACGACCUACGGGUGAAAGCAGGGGAUCUUCGGACCUUGCGCGAUUGAAUGAGCCGAUGUCGGAUUAGCUAGUUGGCGGGGUAAAGGCCCACCAAGGCGACGAUCCGUAGCUGGUCUGAGAGGAUGAUAAGCCACACGGGAAGUGAGACACGGUCAAGACUCCUACGGGAGGGAGCAGUGGGGAAUAUUGGACAAUGGGCGCAAGCAUGAUCCAGCCAUACCGCGUGGGUGAAGAAGGCCUUCGGGUUGUAAAGACCUUUUGUUGGGAAAGAAAAGCAGCAGGUUAAUACGAAGCUGUUCUGACGGUACCGAAAGAAUAAGCACCGGCUAACUUCGUG
rnacentral:rRNA from 1 species